AAAAAAAUACACGAGAGGACCGUGUGUUCUACACAUGAAUUUGCGCAUGUUGUCAAAGCAAAUCAAUAUCACGUGUAAAACAUAUGACAUCGCUCAUUCGAAACUCUGCAUUUGUUUAUAAACAAACCACACGGUAUUAACGUGUAAAACAAAUAGAAUUCUGUUGCUUGACUUGCCAGAGUCACUUGUUUGAUAUGUGAUAUCGAAAUGUAUUCGUGUUGAAUUUCGUUUGUUAUAACAAAAAUGCUGAACCACACCAACCAGCAUUAACGAACUGAGGCCGAAGAGUUUGUUCUAGGACAGAUCACCAAGAAAUUCAAAGGAUUGCUGCCGGAAAACGUGAUUGGUUCGGUGCUGAUGCCUACCAAUAACAGGAAGCCGCCUUGAAGUACGUACGUCGCAAAGGAUAUUCCGAAGAACCGAUACUGAGGAUUCGUCGUUGUUUUUAUGAAAAACAAAUGCAGCAGCAGCAGGAGGAGAACAUGCAAUAAAUAAGAAAAUGCACCAAGUUAGUAUGUUCCGAUUAGAUUCAACACCAACGAGGAGCCACAGCAGGUCAGCCAGUUUUCCCAGAGCAAGAAAUUCAAUUUUGAAAUAUUUAUAUAAGUAUAUAUUCAAAUAAAAUAUUCAACUUACUUCUGUAUUGUUUUUGUUUUUCAACCGUAUAAUAGAAAUCGCAUUCCGAAUGGAUCAAAUGAAAUAAAAAUAAAUUAUUAUUUUAAAAAAAAUCUACAUUUUUUACAGUUUUCAACUAUAUAGUAUAAAAAGAUUUCGAGAACUUUAUUGUACAUAGAUUUGUAGGCGUAUACUCAUAUUUACCUAAGACAGCAGUUUAGUUCAAAUUUGGUAAACUUCACUUCGUCUUUUUAUGUGCGAAGUUGUUUGUUCCACACAUGCCGCAAUGUCUUCUGCCACUGAACAGUGAAAUGCCUCUUCCUUCCACCACCGCUUUAUAACCA